GAUCACAAGCAACAGGUUGAAGUUAUAGUGGUGAUGAGUGAAAUCACAUUUUCCCUACAGUGACAUGUUUUCCAACUGAAUUUACUUCUUUUAUCAAGUUCAGUUCCAAUCUACUCAGUAGUCCCUUAUUCUGUUCGAUUCGUCUCCUCUUCUAUAUAUAGUUGGUACUAAAUUGGUCCAGAUGUGAGACUGACAUUUUUAGAAGUGCCAUAAAUGAAUAUUAAGGCUUUCAUUUACCAACUGGACUAGCCUGAGUUCAAGUGCUCUAAACACAGCCCAACCCAAUUGGUAGUAUUUGCUGGGAAGCCAGUGUGGGAUCAUAAGCAACAAGUUGAAGGGGUGGUGGAGUUGGAGGUUGUUUUCUGGGUGCGUAUCAGGUAAAAAGACCGGCAGACCACAUCCUCCCUGAGAUAACAGUGCAAGUUAGCCGUGACAAGAGGCACCAUGUGAGGAACGCUGGGAAAACUGACCACUCCCACCGGAAUGAAAAAUGAAACAAUGCGGAAAAAAUACAGUCGCUGAAAAGAGCACUGUGUCCAUCCAAACGCAGAGACAACAAUGGAGUCAAACAGAAAACUUCCAGUAAAACGGCUGAGAGAUGGACACUGAACAAGCUCUGCGUCUACUUCCAAUGAGUCAACCCAUUGUGAGGCAUACAGAACACAAGUAGAGUUCCCAGUGAAUCAGAGCAGUCAGCUGCCAUCCACCACCUCAAGGCACAGGGUCAGCAUAGCACAGAACUGCAGACAUGUGACCUGCUGGGUCACACAGCCACAGUUACUGUUCCGGCACACAGAUAUUAACUGUCAGCUCUCAGAUAGGUUUUCCAGACCCUCCAAAACAUGUUCGAGCAGGUUUUCUCAGUUUAUUCAGCUCGGAUGGAUAAUAUACUGCUAUGAUAUAGGGACAGAGGGAGCAGGUGUUUGUAAAUCUAUAGAUAACCAUGACUUGUGAUUUACAGCCUGCUGUCAGGAGGGCGCAGUGACAUCAAUACUGCUGCGGGAGUUUGUCUGAGGCCUAGCUGAGGACACCAAAAUAUCUCUCCACUUCAACCUCCCCCCCCCUCCACUGACAGCGAUACACGAAAUUACACGUGCAGCUGUCUAAAUAUUACUUCUCCCUUCUUCUCCUCUUCAUCUUGCCAUUCCUCUGCUCCUCCUUCCUGCCUUUUCUGUCCCUGUGCAGCCGCUGAGCCGAGCCGGGAUGAGUUUAGGAGGGACAAAUGUUCAACCGGCACAACUGGGGACGUCCACAUUUGGUGCAACGUUGUCAUGUCAACAGUCCAAAGCAGAUCGGCCCGACAGGCUGGGAAUAACUCACCUUCUGGCGUCCAGCUUGCGGCUAUAACCGGCCACACACCCGUGGACAGGCGGCUCGGGUCAUCAGCAGCAGCAGAGAGCACCAGGACAGCUCCGACUGUGCUCCCUGACCCCGGACCUCCAGCUCCUACAUCAGUGGGACAGACUUACAAGAUUCCUGGGUGGCAGCUAAAGGAGGCUAUCACCAAAAAUAAAGAGAUGCUUUCUUGA